UUUUUUCGAUUUUGAUUUUUUUCUGUUCGGUUUCGGCCCGAUUCGAUUUUUUUCAUGAGUUUUUUUUUCUUUUAAAUCUGGAGCUUGAAGCCUUGAGCAUCCUUGGUGAGAAAUCAACCUGCAAGUUGAACAACAGAUAAAUCCACAUUUUAAAAGAGCAAAUAUAUACAUUUCGUAGUAGGAUGCUAGAUAGGAGAAUCAUUGGUCCCAUUGCAACAAGCUUGUCAAAAAUGUAAAAACUAACUAACUAACAACAAAAAUAAUGUAAAUACCUACUUGAAUCUUUGAUAAACAAAACAGCAUGCCCAUUAACCAAUUGGGUUGGAAAGCAUAAAGAUGGAUUUGAUGCCUUGGGAUAUGAAAUCAAAGUUGGAGUCGAUCCAGGCUUCGACCUCGU
rnacentral:lncRNA from 1 species